CCUCGUCGCUCUCCUUUUUAUCGUCGGUCCCAAAAAAGUUUCCGUUUUUCGCGGAGGAAGAGUGGGAGACGCAGAGGAAGCUCCAAUGGAUCGCCUCGCCUUCGUCGAGGACAAAUCGACCAGCACUGGAACCGUAACCCUAGCCCGAAGAGGGAGCCGAUUUCGUCGCCAUUUGCUCAUGCCCAUGAAAAUCCAAUGACAAUGCCAAUUCAGUUUAGGCAGGAUCCUGUGCUUGCAAAUCAAGUUGCUAAGAAGUACAGUGUUGGGGAAGAAAGUAGCCCUAUUAUCACCAAUCUUUUAUGAAUAGGAGUCAGGUAUUGUCACCCACUUAGAAGAGCACAAAACUCUGAGAGAUUUAGUAAUGGAACUACAAGUUCUGGAAUCAACUUGUCACAUGUUUUUUGAGUAGCAUUAUGCUGCAUCUUCCUCUGGAUGAAGAAUACAAGUAUAAGAGGGACACGUUAUAGUGAACCAGAAAAAAGAAAUCUGAUCAUUCAUAUCCAAGAAGGUCCAAUCAGCAGAAUAUAUUAGAGGGUUUUCCUUUUUUUUCCUGGUGGACCAAUACUUGUCCACAGGUGAUCUUGAUUACACUGGUCUUGAAGGAUAUUCAGGAGGGUUGAAGGUUGCUGGGUCUCCUGUUCGUUGGUACUGACAAUUUGUGUCUCCACUUGGAAUGUCACAACCUCGUCGAGGGCAGCAGCCUGAUCUUAAUAACCUGCAACCAUGGCAACAACUAUUGAUGUGCCAACUGAUACAAGAGCCUCAGAGCCAGAAUAAAUUUAAGCAGCUAGAUCCGGGUACAGGACAGCGAAAUUCACUUAGCAAAUUGUCCGCUUCAGCAAAACCAGCACCUGUGGAUCAGUUACCUGCAAUGAUAGAUGAUGUCCCUAUUAAUCAUGUGUCCGAUUGUAAUUGGCCAAAAACUGUUGUUCCGAGCAUGCCUUUAGUGCCUAUUAACUCUCAACCAUUUAUUGGGGACAACAUGAACUGGCUGCAGUUAAAUGACAAUCCUACUGUACCAAAUGUUGCAAGUAGUUUCGUAAUUUCAAAUAAUCAAAUUCAAACAAUGCGAUCUAUGGGUUUCAUCCCACAACAGUUUGACCAGACUUUUCAUGGCAUUCCUGUUUCAAGCGCCAAAGGGGUUAUAUGUCAACAUCCUCAGUUCUUUGGGGCGUCUAGUAAUUGCACUGAUUUGACAACUACUGGAGCCAGGAAUGAAUCAAGAAAAGCAUGGGUUCCAUUUAACUCUCUUCAGAGUGAUCAGUCUUCUCCUGCACAAAACUUCUCACGGGAAAGAACAUUUGCUAUGUGUAAUUUUCAUGGCAAAGGCUCACUUGAUAAUGCUUCAGUGCAAGUUCUGAGUAAUGAUGUUACAUCAGGAAACUUUCAGCAAAUAGAUAAUCUAAAAUGCAGUGUUCGGGUUCAUGAAGUCCAAGAUAAUCAGGACAAAGCUGACUUGUCAAGUAACUUGCACGAAAAUCCAUCAAUGCAAGUAGAGACUUCCGAUGAUGUGGCUGCUAACCUAGACCCUACAGAACAGAAGCUUUUGUUUGGUAUGGAUGAUGGCCACAGUUUGGAAGUUCCCUUGGGUGGGAGCCUGAACACUUGUUCAGGCAACUUUCUUUGUGGGUCUUCUUUGGAGAACAUCCAUUUUGGUGCUAUUCCUUCCAUGCAAAGUGGAAGCUGGAGCGCUCUUAUGCAGGAGGCUGUACAGGCUUGCAGCAGUGAUAAGGGAAUCCAGGAAGAGUGGAGUGGUUUGAGCUACCAGAAAAUGGAAUGUCCAAUGGUAAUGGAUUCAGUUGUGUCUAAUGAUAAUGCCAAGCAGCCAACCACUUGGGAUGACAGCUACCUGCAGAGUGCAUCCUCAUUAACUUCAAGACAUCUUCCUUUGUAUAAUGAUGCUGAUGCAUGUUCGAAUUCAUGCACUUCCCCUAGUUUUCAUAACUCAUUUGCACAUGAUGGAAAUAGUAGGGUACAAAGUGGAGCUCCUCAUGUGUCUUUUCAGCUGUCUGCUGGUGGAAACAAUUACAAACAGUUUCAUCAGGAUCAAAAGCAGAAACCAAUCUUCGAAGGUGGUCCUCAAGCACAGAUACCUUUAACCAAUGAAGUGUGGGUGGACCAGUCAUAUGAGCAGUGUGCAAAUGAUUCUGUAGACAUGCAGUAUACUGAGGGAAGCUGGACCUACCAACAAAAUGAGGCCUUGGUGAAUUUUCCUGGGGAGUUUAGUGAUACACCAAAUUUCUGGAACAGUAGUUAUAUUAUGGCACCUGGCGGGGAUUGUGUCUCAGAUGUUUGUGAUAAUGAUGUUAAUAUGGGGAAGCCUGGUGGUAGUAACAUGCAUGUGAACAGCGGAGAACAACCAGUCGAAUCCGAUAUUGGCAGUUCGGUGCAAGCUGAAGAUUUUGCAGUUGACAACUAUGGUUCUGUUGUGAACACAAACAACUUUGAGUGGAAUGAUGAGAUGAAUCAGCUGGCAUCCAAUUCAGGUCUGAUGGUUUUUGGUAAAAACUUGAACUUUGAUGCAUGUGUAACUGUAAAAACUAAUGGUGACAAAAAUGUGGAAAGAAACUAUAAUCAAUUAAGUGGGAGACCACAAACUAGUUAUGACACUAACAAAAGAUUAAGCAGCACCGAUGAAAACAAAAAAGAUCUGCAGAUGGUUUCAGGUGAUGGCUAUACAUCCAGUAGUUUAGACCACAGCCGAUAUAGCUAUACUAUAGAUAGUGCAAAGGAAAAUUCUGUGUUGGCUGCUAAUGACCAGAAAUCUUUUGUAUCCGAGAUCCAAGAUUCAUUGAUCCAAACUGGUCAACAUACUGUGGGUUCUAAAAUGAAGCGGUUAACAGGAAGUUUGGGGAUGGAUGUGGAACCUUUGCUCCCUAAAAAUCAUCCAUUUAUUUUUCAGUGCAUGCCCAAAUCAGUUAUUCAAGGAUAUAAAAAAGAGGAACAGAUAUAUGCUCAAAAGUCUAAGUUUGCAGAUCAUAUUGAUUCAAACAAUGUUGAAAACCUUGUUAAGAGAAUUGCAGUGGAAUCACAGAAGCUACAAUCUAGAGAUAACAUCUUGACUCAUGCUUCGGCUUCUUCCUUUGAUGGAUCCAUUGGUCCAUAUUCCCAAAAUAAAAGAAUUGCUCAAACAAGUCAAAAUGUGCUUGAGCUUCUUCACAAGGUUGAUCAGUCAAGGAAUACUGAUAUCCCUGCUCAAGUUGGUUUUGAUACUGCUUCUCCUCGUAUUUGUCAGCCAUCUGCUGUGCAAGGUUUUGGUUUGCAAUUGGCCCCACCAUCUCAACAAUUUUCGAAGUUUGUGUUACCUUCCAAUACUUGUCUAAAUAUUAAUCCUAUGAACUUAGACAGCAAGGCAGGAGAUAAAGACCAGAUAUGGUCAAUUUCUACACCAUCAGUUCAAUCUCUCAUGAAUGAAACAUCUCAAAGAGAAAAUCAGAGUAAGAUAUCUAGCAUAUCAGAACAAAAGCAUAAAGAAGCUUUAUACUGUGAUAAGCAAAAUACCUUAUCCGCAAUAGCUCGUAAUUCUUGUAAUAUGAGGAACCACCUACAAGGGCAGCAGUCACAGGAACGUAAUCCUAAUGUGAACGUUUAUCUGGAGAAAGAGCAAGAUAUUCCUAGUUCCACUGGAUAUGGAACAUUAGAUCAGUCAAUGAAUUUUACCAUUUUUAACCAAGCUAAUGCAAAUGCUCUUGUCAAAAAUACCUCACUACUUCAACAACCAUAUAAAUCUCAUGAUGGGGCGGUAGCUGAUCGAUCUAUUCAGACAUCAUUUCCUUCUCUGGCUGGCAGAGUUCCACCUUUUAGAGUCGCUUCUGGUGAACAGUUGCAGACAACAAAGAUGGAUUAUACAAAGCAGAAGCAGGUUGUUCAGGACUUCUCUCAGAUUAGUAGUUCAAUGUACUCUAAUACAGAAACAAUAUCAAUCCAGCCUUCUACUGCAGGCAUUUCUUAUCAAGUUGACCCAUCGUCAAUGUUGGCAUACAUGUGGACAAAUAUAUCAACCCAACAACAUCAAGCUAGCCUUCUCCCUGACAGUCUCAGCCUACAGAUACCUCAGUCACAUAAUAUUAGGGAAACAAGUUUUUUGGGCCUGCAAAAGACAUAUGAUCAAGGAAGUAAUGGAGAGAGUGCUUCUUCCGAAGUUGGCACAAGUUCUCAUUUGAUGAACAGAGAUGAUCCAAAUAAGAGAUUUUCCUUAAAGCCAUCAAUUACUGAGAAGAUAGAUUCUAUUACCCAGGCAGAAACUGAAUUCCAAUGGACAGAACUAGUGGGAAAUGCUGAGGAGGGUUUGAAUACAUUCAUUCCAUCCUUGGUCCAUUUGCAUCAGAAGGGCAUGGACCAGGGGAAAAGUUGGCAUGCUUCAACUCCUUACACUCAAGCAGUACAUGCUUCCAUUAACAGAAUGGCCUCUUCUAGCAGUGAAAUUGGGUUCCCUGGUUUUACUUCAAAUCCUUCAGAUGUUCAACAGAAAAAUUGUUCCCUUCUGCACCGGAUGCAAGCUAGGAGGAAAGCUGAUUCUGAUCUAAGCAACAAGGUACAAAGUAGGCUAAGGGGAGCUGAUUUUGUCUCUAAUUCUUCUUUUGUGUACUGGAACAAUGAUCAGGGAAAUGUUCAGGAACAAGAUUCAGACUUCAAAAUUCCUGCAUAUCGUGAACUUGGUGCAUGUUCACAAAGUUUGUUACCAUCGAAUGCAAAAAUGCUAAGUUUUGCUUCUAAAGAAAAUGUGUUACAAAAUGCAAGCACACCUUCUUCAGGAGGGCAUUGUCUUCAAAAUGAUAUAUCCUCUCUUAGUACAUGUUCAACAGCUAAUUUAAUCAGAGGAAAUGAGCACACUUGUAUGAACCCUCAAGUGUCUCCAUCUUGGUUUGAAAAAUAUCAAAUGUAUAAAAAUGAUGCAGUAAUUGCUGAACAUGAUGGCCAGAAGAUUACAAAACCUACUUCUCAGCAGAAUUUUUUCUCAGAUAUACCUGGGAGCACAGCCGAAAACAUUAUGGUCAAGCACAGAAUUCAAAACAGUCAGACAUAUACUUGGCCAAGUUCAUCAAUCGCAGAGGUAUCUUCCGAUAGACCCCAUUCACUGCUUCCUACUAUUGUGGACCAGGAUGCAGUUAUAAGAUCAAGGAAGCGGAAAAACACAAUUACAGAGCUUCUGCCAUGGCACAAGGUCGCACAAGGACAGCAGAGGUUAAGAAGCAUCAGUAUUGCAGAACUAGACUGGGCUCGGGUUACCAAUAAGUUGUUUGAAAAGGUGCAUGAUGGAGCUGAAGCUUUGGAGAAUGGCCCAUCAACAACUCAACCACGAAGAAGGCUAAUUUUGACUACUCACUUGAUGCAUCAACUCAUUCCAGCUGUACCAUCUCGAAUACUUAAUAAGGAGGUCAUUUCAGCCUAUGAAAAUGUUACCUUCUCCAUUGCUAAAUCAGCACUUGCAGAUGUGUGCAGCUUGAUCUCUUCCUUGGGAAGAGAUUAUCACAUUCAUUUGGAAAAAGAGAAUACGUUUUCUGAUAAUGUUACCUCUUGUAAGAAGGCAGGAGACCAUCUUUGCUCAAAAAUCAUGGAAGUCUUUAUUCAAAGAUCCAAGAAGCUUGAGUGUGAUUUCUCAAGGUAUGAACAUAAUCCGGUGGUUGGUUUGAAUAUCAUUGGUUUCCUUCUUCUGAUGUGUUGUUCUUUAUUAAAAAAUUGGUUAUAUUUGAAUGUAAGUCCAUGCUUUGACCUGAUAUUUUUGUAAAGUUAGUUUAACUAAGCCCUGUAUCAGCCAACGAUGAUCUUAUUUACCAGUCCAUAAUUACAUGACAACUCUAAAAUCAGGAUUAUUGAAAGCUUGGUUUUAAGUAACAUCCGAGGUGUAGCUUGGUUCAAACAAUAUUGUUGAGAUUUAUUACCAUAAUUACACUGAUAGAACAUGAGAAGGUUUCAGUUAAACUAAAGGUGCCAGGUGAUGUAGAGAAAAAGCAAGUAGGACUUUGUUGUGUCAUUGAAUAAAUAUAAUGGUGCUUGAACCAAGCUUUUCAGAAAUAUGGCCAUAUGGUCAGGAUUAGUUGGACCUGAUGCAUAUUGUGAUUGUGGCUGAACCUGAGCCAAAUUGGGUUGAUCAGGAUCGGAUGAUUCCAACCAAAUUUGAUCAGGUUCUGACGAAUGACAAUUACAUCUGUUAGAAAGGGAGCUAGGAGAAGAGAGAGGGGAAGGGGCAGAGGACAGAAGACGUAAGAGGAGGGGAAAAAAAAUGGAUCAUGGACAUUGGUCAUCUUGGGGACUUCACUGGCUGCCUCUCUUGGCACAUUGUUUGGAUUUUUAAGUGAGAAUUUUACGUGGAUGAUAUGCCUCUAGUAGUGGAUGGGGAAUUUGCCUACAUCUAAUAGCUUAUGCGAGUCGCAGGUGAAGAUGCAGUUGCAGAAGAAAGAUUAUUUUUCAAUGAAUGGCAUGCCUUCAGAUUGGACAAGAGGUCAUCAGUGUUAAACGUCCGAAAGGAGUUCCACGAAUUGGAAAGGUUCUCUCUCGUUAACCGUUUAGGCGAGUUUCAUGGACGGCCUCCGAUAAUCGAAGACAGUUCUUCCACUUCAGAAGCUCC